GAGACACUAACAAACUGAAGGGGCGAUUGGGAUAUGAAUCAAGACACUCACUUAGAAGACAGAGAUGGAGAUUUUAUUCUGAGGUCAAUCUUUAUAACAAGAAACAGAAUCAGGCUGGGCAGGGUGGCUCAUGUCUGUAAUCCCAACGCUUUGGGAGGCUGAGGCAGGAGGAUUGCUUGAGCCCAGGAGUUCAUGACAAGCCUAGGUAACACAAUGAGAUCCUGUCUGUACAAACAAUAAAAAUAAAAAAUUAUCCAGGUGUGGUGGUGUGUGCCUCUAGUCCCAGCUACUCAGGGGGCUGAGGCAGGAGGAUUUCUUGGGCUCAGUGGUUCUGGGCUGUAGGGUGCUAUGCCAAUGGAUGGGGUGUCUGUGAUAAGUUCCACAUCAAGAUAGUGACCUUCUGGAAUCAGGAGACCACUAGAUUGCCUAAGGAGGGGUGAGCCAGCCCAGGUCAGGAAGGGAACAGGUCAGAACUCCCACACUGGUCAGCAGAUCAGUAGAGGGAUCUGUGUAUAGCCACUGCCCUCCUCCAGCCUGGGCAAAAUAGGAAGACUCUGUCUCUAUCAUAAAAAAUAAAUAAAAGACCAAAGGGGGGUGGUAGAGGAAGUCCUCCAUUUGGUCUCUUAGGCCAGGAUGGGGUAGGGCUGGAGGGAAAGACCAUCUGAGUCUCUGACUGUACCUGAUGUGGCUCACAGAGGACUUUCCUACCUCUUUGGUUCUUUAGGGAGUUCUGACUCAGGAUUUCUUAGCAAUGGCCAAUUCUUCUACAUACAAAUCUGUUUCUUUCUUUUCCUUUCCAUGCCCCAUCUUUGGACAUCCAGUCAUGAAAGGGAGGCCAGUAGAUUUAUCAGUUUAUAGAUAGGAAAAGAAAACAUGUGGCUUUGGGUAUAAGUGCACUUAAGAAGUCGUAUUUGGCCGGGCGCGGUGGCUCACGCCUG
rnacentral:lncRNA from 1 species